rnacentral:lncRNA from 1 species
GGGGCACUAGUUAAGGAUGCAAAAAUAGUAAUUUGGUAUUGGAGUUUGUGCAGUCAACUCCUCGAAAGUUUAAAAAGUGUUUUUUUCUUUUCAAAACUUUCUGUUUUUGGUUUCCUUAACCAGUGCCCCGGGGCACCGGUUAGCAUGACCCUAAAAAGAAUUAGUCAGCAUGCCGUACAUGCAAAAAUGUCAUGUCAUUAUGAGUCAUGUGUUUCUCCUUAUGUCACCUAUGCAUUUUUUUUUAAUAGUUGUUAACGCUAAGGAUCUUAAACAAAAGAAAUUGAUCAUUCAAAAAAAAUGAUACUGGGACGAAAGCUAAAAUAGUGCGACCGUACAUGAAUCAAUAAUUUAUUUUCUUAACAUAUUAUGUUAGAAUAGGAUAAUACGGGACAAAAGAAAAUGAUCAUUCAAGAGCUAUUUUGAAGAUAAGAAUUUUAACUAUAUAGUAGACUAGGAUAAAUUUCUGAAUUGAUACCAUACAAUUAUCAUAUAUAUCAUGUCCUUUUUUUUCUUUGACGAAUCAUAUCAUGUCUCUUAUCUUCUCCACAAAUUCAAAUUUUUAUUAUGAUGUUGAAA